CCUGGUGGUGGCAGGCGACUAGAUCCUCGCCAAACUUGGCCUCUCACGAUAAACCCUGGCACAACAGGAGGUCGCAUAUGGGGUCGAACCAAUUGCCGCUUUGAUGGAGCUGGCCGUGGCCAAUGCCAAACUGGCGAUUGCGGGGGUCUACUCCAAUGCACAGCCUAUGGUGCACCCCCCAACACCAUUGCCGAGUUUGCCUUAAGCCAGUUCAAUAGCCUGGAUUUCUUUGACG
rnacentral:misc_RNA from 1 species